rnacentral:rRNA from 1 species
AUUGAACGCUGGCGGCAGGCCUAACACAUGCAAGUCGAACGGUAGCACAGAGAGCUUGCUCUCGGGUGACGAGUGGCGGACGGGUGAGUAAUGUCUGGGAAAUUGCCCGAUGGAGGGGGAUAACUACUGGAAACGGUAGCUAAUACCGCAUAACGUCGCAAGACCAAAGUGGGGGACCUUCGGGCCUCACACCAUCGGAUGUGCCCAGAUGGGAUUAGCUAGUAGGUGGGGUAAUGGCUCACCUAGGCGACGAUCCCUAGCUGGUCUGAGAGGAUGACCAGCCACACUGGACCUGAGACACGGUCCAGACUCCUACGGGAGGCAGCAGUGGGGAAUAUUGCACAAUGGGCGCAAGCCGGAUGCAGCCAUGCCGCGUGUAUGAAGAAGGCCUUCGGGUUGUAAUGUACUUUCAGCGGGGAGGAAGGCGGUGAAGUUAAUAGCUUCACCGAUUGACGUUACCCGCAGAAGAAGCACCGGCUAACUCCGUGCCAGCAGCCGCGGUAA